GAUGCUACCCCCUUUCUCCUUCUCCUAAAAAAAUCCCUAACCCUUCUGCUAUCCAAUUCCUUUUUCUUCAUUCUUUCUUCGUUCCUUUGCCAUCCCUCAGCUCAUUCCUCCCCUACUCGUCUUCCCUUUCUCUAUAUUUUUUCCUAUGCCUCCCAUGCUCUUGAUUUUUCCCUUCAUAUUCUCACCUAUGUCUGGAUCUACAGCUUCUUCUUAAGCACCGUGCAGGUAUGUGUAAGUGUGUUACAUCAGUUUGGCAUUAAAGCUUGUGUUUCUACCAUCCUUGGUUGUUUUCAUUGCUUGAAAGCCUCUAAAAUCCCGUUUCACACUGUCUACCUAGAAACCUCCAUUUCCCAACAUUAUAUUGUAAAAAUAUCACCACCAUCAUGUUCAAGAGGAGGAAUUUAGUUAGAACCCAAAUUUUCACCUCCAUCCUCCAUCACACACUCCUUCAUGUACUAGUAAAGUGAUCUGCGUGUGGUCGUCACAUGCCCUAUGUGCUGGUGCCAGUCCUUGUGUGUGACUUCACGUGUCAACAUGUACAGUGCCUAAAAUCUAAUUUUUUUUUGCAUUUUGGGUGUAUUCGAGGAGUUUUCUACAGUUUUGAUUCAAGUUGAGUGUAACAUCCUAAAAAUUUUAAGACUCAAAUUUAUUUAAAAAAAAUAAAUAAAAAUAAAAUAAAAUAUCUAUAAUUAAAUUAAAAUUUAGAAUAAUUUAAUAGAGGCCCAGAAUUUGAAUUUUACUAAGCAAAAGUUUGGUUUUAUUUGAUUUUUAACUAUGGGAAAAAUUACCAAAGUUGACCCGGGGUUUUGUGCAAUAAUAAAAAAUGUUGGGCCCUUUCUUGUAAUUUUCCCCAAAAUUUUUGACCAGCAUUUUAAGGAGCAAACAGAUGCAGAAAACGCAGAAAAUGAACAAGGGAAGCAAACGCACAAACGGGAGAGAGAGAGAGAGGAAGAAGAGAAGAGAAAGGGAGGGAGUUAGGCUUGGAUCUAGGAGUCUUUGCGACCGUUGCGAGCUCGGCUACACGAUAGAAAAUUGUUGGUGGAACUUAUUGAGAAGUAAGGAACAAGCCGAGCCCUAUUUUGUACAAGGGGAACCCUUUUAGUACCAAAGGGUUGAGGUCCAGACGAAGGAUCCAGUGGUGGACGGGGAAAGGAGCAAAGCUAGGGGUUUGCUUGUGAUUUGUAAAGAACUGCAACCCCUUUCUUUUGAGCAAAUAUAUUGUAAUGUAUUUAAGAUUAGGGUGCCAGUAAGAUAUGAUUAUGUGUGUGUGUGUGAAUAUGUGUGGAUUGUGUGCUUGUGUAUGAAUUUUUGUCUGUUUGCAGACUUGUGGCUAGGAAACUUGGUUAUGGUGUGUGGUUUUGAUGGAUUUA